CAGUCGCCGCGGUAAUACGUAGGGUGCAAGCGUUGUCCGGAAUCAUUGGGCGUAAAGCGCGCGUAGGUGGCCAUUUAAGUCCGCUGUGAAAGCCAAAGGCUCAACCUUUGAAAGCCGGUGGAUACUGGAUGGCUAGAGUACGGAAGAGGCGAGUGGAAUUCCUGGUGUAGCGGUGGAAUGCGCAGAUAUCAGGAGGAACACCAAUAGCGAAGGCAGCUCGCUGGGACGUUACUGACACUGAGGCGCGAAAGCGUGGGGAGCGAACAGGAUUAGAUACCCCCGUAGUCCCUGUCUCUUAUAC
rnacentral:rRNA from 1 species